CAACAAAGAGGCUUCCUCUUGUUAAUCAUCAUUUUUCAGCUGCUCUUUUGGAGUAAGCUGUCAGCGAGCAUAUCAGAGGAUCUGGAUUUCUACAUGAAAAAGGCAACACUUUCAGGCUAAAGAGGCUGUGUGAGUGCAUAUCUUACCACUCCUGAGUUUUAGAGAAGCUCCUGGGAACUAGGAACUACGGACCAGAGGGCAUGCCUUCUUUAUAGGGCUUUGCAAGUACCCAAAGUGCAGGAGGCUGUGGGAACUGAUGUAUAUCUUGAGUUGAAG